rnacentral:rRNA from 1 species
GGACUUCGGGUUGUAAACCUCUUUCGCCGGGACGAAGAGGACGGGACUAGAACACCAAGGGACGGGUGGCUCCGCGCCAGGAGAACCCGGGAUAACUA